AGAAAAGAUGCGGAUUUGUGGGGGGAGCAAAAAAGUGGGAUAUUGGGGCCUGUUGGGAGAGAAAAUAGUGGGAUUUUGGGGAAGAAAAAGUGGGAUUUUGGGUAAGUGUUUGUGAGCUGAAAAAACAAUGGGAUUUUUGGGGGAAAAAGUGGGAAUUUGGGGCUGUUUUUGGGAGGAAUAAAGUGGGAUUUUGAGGGGAAAAGUGGGAUUUGGGGUAGUUUGUGAAGGAAAAUGUGGGAUUUUGAGGGGGAAAAAAGUGGGAUUUGGGGCAGAUUGUGAGGCAAAAUGUGGGAUUUGGGAGAAAAAGUGAGAUUUAGGGUAGUUUGUGUGGAAAACGUGAGAUUUUGAGGGGGAAAAGUGGGAUUUGGGGCUGUUUGGGAGGGGAAAAGGGGGGUUUUGGAAGAAAAAAAUGGGAAGUUUGUAACAGAAAAUGAAGGAAUUUUUGAAGGAAAAAAGGGUUCCAUCUGGGGUCCCAUAAGGGUCCCCUUAUGGGGAUCUUUGGGUUCCAUAGGGAUCCCAUAGGGGGUCCCAUGGGGAUCUUUGGGUUCCAUAGGGGGUCCCAUGGGGAUCUUGGGUUCUAUAGGGGUCUCAUAGGGGGUCCCAACUGGGGAUCUUUUGGGUCUAUAGGGGUCUCAUAGGGGGUCCCAUGGGGAUCUUUGGGUUCUAUAGGGGUCUCAUAGGGGGUCCCAUGGGGAUCUUUGGGUUCCAUAGGGAUCCCGUAGGGGGUCCUAUAGGGAUCUUUGGGUUCCAUAGGGAUCCCAUAGGGGUCCCAUAGGGAUCUUUGGGUUCCAUAGGGAUCCCAUAGGGGGCUCCUUGGGGGUCUUUGGGUUCCAUAGGGGUCUCAUAGGGGGUCCCAUGGGGAACUUGGGGUUCCAUAGGGAUCCCAUAGGGUCUUCUCUGGGUCUUUAUGGGGUCCCAUAGGGGGUUCCAUGGGGAUGUUUGGGUUCCAUAGGGGUCUCAUAGGGGGUUCCAUGGGGAACUUGGGGUUCCAUAGGGGACUCCCUGGGGAUGUUUGGGUCCAUAGGGAUCUCAUAGGGGGUUCCUUGGGCUUCCAUAGGGGUCCUAUAGGGGCUGUAUGGGGUUCUAUAGGGGGUUCCUUGGGGAACUUGGGGUCCCCAUAGGGUUUCCAUAGGGGUCCCAUAGUGGUGCGGGUCCCGGGGGGGCGCUGAUUCGGGGGCCCCCGCAGGGGCGGCAGCGCGGCGUCGCCCAUGUAAAAUGAUGCCAUAGGGCAAUCUGUGGGACCACCUGUGGGUCCCAUAGGGGACUCCCAAUAG
rnacentral:lncRNA from 1 species